GCGCGAAAACUUUACAAUGCUGGAAACAGCGAUAAGGGGACCUCGAGUGCCAGGUUACAAAUCUGGCUGUCGUGAUGCCUAAAAAGCAUUGCAUAGCAAGGGCCGGGCAAGACCGGUGCCAGCCGCCGCGGUAACACCGGCGGCUCGAGUGGUAACCGUUAUUAUUGGGUCUAAAGGGUCUGUAGCCGGCCGGAUAAGUCUCUUGGGAAAUCUGGCAGCUUAACUGUCAGGCUUUCAGGAGAUACUGUCUGGCUCGAGGCCGGGAGAGGUGAGAGGUACUUCAGGGGUAGGGUGAAAUCUUGUAAUCCUUGAAGGACCACCAGUGGCGAAGGCGUCUCACCAGAACGGACCUGACGGCAAGGGACGAAAGCUAGGGGCACGAACCGGAUUAGAUACCCGGGUAGUCCCAGCCGUAAACGAUGCUCGCUAGGUGUCAGGUGCGGUGCGACCGCAUUUGGUGCCGUAGUGAAAACUUGAAGCGAGUCACCGUGGGAACGUCGGUCGCAAGGCUGAAACUUAAGGAAUUGGCGGGGG
rnacentral:rRNA from 1 species